rnacentral:rRNA from 1 species
UAGGGAAUCUUCGGCAAUGGGGGCAACCCUGACCGAGCAACGCCGCGUGAGUGAAGAAGGUUUUCGGAUCGUAAAGCUCUGUUGUAAGUCAAGAACGGGUGUGAGAGUGGAAAGUUCACACUGUGACGGUAGCUUACCAGAAAGGGACGGCUAACUACGUGCCAGCAGCCGCGGUAAUACGUAGGUCCCGAGCGUUGUCCGGAUUUAUUGGGCGUAAAGCGAGCGCAGGCGGUUUGAUAAGUCUGAAGUUAAAGGAUGUGGGCCAACCAUAGUUCGCUUUGGAAACUGUCAAACUUGAGUGCAGAAGGGGAGAGUGGAAUUCCAUGUGUAGCAGUGAAAUGCGUAGAUAUAUGGAGGAACACCGGUGGCGAAAGCGGCUCUCUGGUCUGUAACUGACGCUGAUGCUAGAAAGCGUAGGGAGCGAACAGG